rnacentral:tRNA from 1 species
GUAACUUUGGUGUAAUGGUCAGUAAUCGAGCCUUCCAAGCUCGAGAUCGGGGUUCAAUUCCACAGAGUUGCA